rnacentral:rRNA from 1 species
UACGUAGGGUGCGAGCGUUGUCCGGAAUUACUGGGCGUAAAGAGCUCGUAGGUGGUUUGUCGCGUUGUUCGUGAAAACUCACAGCUUAACUGUGGGCGUGCGGGCGAUACGGGCAGACUGGAGUACUGCAGGGGAGACUGGAAUUCCUGGUGUAGCGGUGGAAUGUGCAGAUAUCAGGAGGAACACCGGUGGCGAAGGCGGGUCUCUGGGCAGUAACUGACGCUGAGGAGCGAAAGCGUGGGGAGCGAACAGG